CAACUUUCAACAACGGAUCUCUUGGUUCUGGCAUCGAUGAAGAACGCAGCGAAAUGCGAUAAGUAGUGUGAAUUGCAGAAUUCAGUGAAUCAUCGAAUCUUUGAACGCACAUUGCGCCCCUUGGUAU
rnacentral:rRNA from 1 species